rnacentral:rRNA from 1 species
AACGCUAGCUACAGGCUUAACACAUGCAAGUCGAGGGGCAGCAUGAACUUAGCUUGCUAAGUUUGAUGGCGACCGGCGCACGGGUGAGUAACGCGUAUCCAACCUUCCGUACACUCAGGAAUAGCCUUUCGAAAGAAAGAUUAAUACCCGAUGGUAUAAAGAGUUCGCAUGUUCUCUUUAUUAAAGAAUUUCGGUAAGCGAUGGGGAUGCGUUCCAUUAGAUUGUUGGCGGGGUAACGGCCCACCAAGUCUACGAUGGAUAGGGGUUCUGAGAGGAAGGUCCCCCACAUUGGAACUGAGACACGGUCCAAACUCCUACGGGAGGCAGCAGUGAGGAAUAUUGGUCAAUGGGCGCGAGCCUGAACCAGCCAAGUAGCGUGAAGGAUGAAGGUCCUACGGACUGUAAACUUCUUUUAUAAGGGAAUAAAGUCACCCACGUGUGGGUGUUUGUAUGUACCUUAUGAAUAAGCAUCGGCUAACUCCGUGCCAGCAGCCGCGGUAAUACGGAGGAUGCGAGCGUUAUCCGGAUUUAUUGGGUUUAAAGGGAGCGUAGACGGGUCGUUAAGUCAGCUGUGAAAGUUUGAGGCUCAACCUUAAAAUUGCAGUUGAUACUGGCGUCCUUGAGUACGGUUGAGGCAGGCGGAAUUCGUGGUGUAGCGGUGAAAUGCAUAGAUAUCACGAAGAACUCCGAUUG